rnacentral:rRNA from 1 species
CAUGCAAGUCGAGGGGAAACGACAUCGAAAGCUUGCUUUUGAUGGGCGUCGACCGGCGCACGGGUGAGUAACGCGUAUCCAACCUGCCCACCACUUGGGGAUAACCUUGCGAAAGUAAGACUAAUACCCAAUGACGUCUCUAGAAGACAUCUGAAAGAGAUUAAAGAUUUAUCGGUGAUGGAUGGGGAUGCGUCUGAUUAGCUUGUUGGCGGGGUAACGGCCCACCAAGGCGACGAUCAGUAGGGGUUCUGAGAGGAAGGUCCCCCACAUUGGAACUGAGACACGGUCCAAACUCCUACGGGAGGCAGCAGUGAGGAAUAUUGGUCAAUGGACGAGGGUCUGAACCAGCCAAGUAGCGUGCAGGAAGACGGCCCUAUGGGUUGUAAACUGCUUUUAUAAGGGAAUAAAGUGAGAGUCGUGACUCUUUUUGCAUGUACCUUAUGAAUAAGGACCGGCUAAUUCCGUGCCAGCAGCCGCGGUAAUACGGAAGGUCCGGGCGUUAUCCGGAUUUAUUGGGUUUAAAGGGAGCGUAGGCCGGAGAUUAAGCGUGUUGUGAAAUGUAGAUGCUCAACAUCUGAACUGCAGCGCGAACUGGUUUCCUUGAGUACGCACAAAGUGGGCGGAAUUCGUGGUGUAGCGGUGAAAUGCUUAGAUAUCACGAAGAACUCCGAUUGCGAAGGCAGCUCACUGGAGCGCAACUGACGCUGAAGCUCGAAAGUGCGGGUAUCGAACAGGAUUAGAUACCCUGGUAGUCCGCACGGUAAACGAUGGAUGCCCGCUGUUGGUCUGAAUAGGUCAGCGGCCAAGCGAAAGCAUUAAGCAUCCCACCUGGGGAGUACGCC